CCAUAAAUAGCCAAGUACUAUCUCUUAUUUCGUAAUUCAUGGUUAAAUGGUACACGCAUGUUUGUGUGCAUGUGUAUUUCUUACAUUUCACAAAGAAGUCCUGGAAAGAAUGGCUAUUAUUAAGGAAUGAACCAACAACAAAUGUUGGUAGGGCUGUGGGGAAAAAGGAACCCUUUUCCUCUGUUAGUGAGCAUGUAGACUGGCAACCACUGUGGAAAUCAGUGUGGAGAUUCCUCAAAAAACUAGGAUUAGAAAAACAAAACAAAACAAAACUAGGAUUAGAGGUCUCAUUUGACCUCAUUUGAUACCCUUUCUGGGUAUCUUUGCAAAAGAACUAAAAGCAUCAUACCACAGCCAUAUAUAUGCGCACCUAUGUUUGUAGCGCUAUAGUUUGUAACACCUAAAUUUUGGAAACAACCAAAAUGCCCAUCAACUGAUGAAUGAAUAAAAAGAUGUGGUGUUUUUAUAUAAUGGGAUACUACUCAGCCAUAAAGCAGGUUAAACUCAAAACAUUUCUAGGUAAAUGGAUGCACCUUGAGAGCAUACUCUUAAGUGAAAUGGACACAAAGGUAUAAAUAUCACAUUGUCUCUCUAGUGUGAGAAAUUGAAAGUGUAAGUAAGGACCAAAAUGUAUUAUAAAUAUUGUGAAAUAGGAAGAAAUUGUACAAAAGAGGAACUAGUGAGGUGGAAGGAGGAAAGGAAGAAAGGGAAAAGAAAAAAUAUGAGAAAAAAAGAUAAAAUGUGCCCUUAGGAAGAAGUCAAAUGGCAGAAAACACAUUUUUUAAAGAAAAAAAAUAGUCUGGAUGAAGGAUGAGAGUGACCCAGAGUGAUUGAAUUGGCAGCCCCAAGCCUAAGGCACAGUGACAAGACCUGGAUCAUCUGAACCUUCACUUUACUCUCAGACUACAUGAGCCUUUGUGAAGGCAUACAUAUCUCUCUCCUUCCCUGUUUCGGUCACUUCUUUUCUUCAUCUUUCUCUCCUCUGCUCCUCCACCACAAACUAGAAGUCCAC
rnacentral:lncRNA from 1 species